UUGUGUGGCAUUGCCGAUACGCCGGAGCCCCAGCAUGCUUGGCGUCCGCAUUGCCGAUACCCCGGAGCCCCAGUCUCUCGGGGCGCAGAAGACGGAAGGCGCGAACAACGAAGACGAGCACAUCGAGACCCCCAGCGCGCGCGACUGCGAUGACGGCGCAACGGACGGCG
rnacentral:SRP_RNA from 1 species